rnacentral:lncRNA from 1 species
AUGGCUAAGCAACUAUUCAAACCGUGUGCUUCUCCCUGCCCGCGUUAUUUAACGGGUGGGGAUACACACGAGCUUUGUGUAGUUUGUUUGGGAGUGGAGCAUGCGUUAUCAGCCUUCGAGGAGACUGAUUGCCCGCAUUGUGAGAAGCUUUCGCUUCGCAUGCUCCGCUCCCGCUUGUCACUCUUUGAUGAGAAGAGCGGCGAGCCUCGCGCUCCUCAGGGUGCAGGACCCGCUUCUGCCGAGGCAGAACGGAGAGUGCAUUCCUGGGGUUCGCAAAUGGAUCUCUCAGCGGGGUUGGAGACGGGUCCGAGGGCUCUUUCUCCUCCCUUACCUGGGAGAUCCAUAGCUCAAACUCCGGUGUCGGAAGCCCGCCCCGCGGCUUCUUCCGCCCGGGGGGAGAGCCCAUUGCUUCGUUGCUCUAGCUCCGAGGAGUUAGAUGUAACGGGCAGUGAAGGUGACACAAUCAGGGGGGAAGAGGAUUCGCCAUCUCUUUCCCCAGCAUAUGAGGAGUUGGUUGAUGUAUUAACACGAGCUGUAGAUAAAUUACAUAUAUCUUGGCCAUCUGAUAAACAGAGCGCUCAUCCUAAAAGCAAAUUAGACGAGCGUUUUCUGUCUUCUAAAACAUCGCCUACAUCACGGGGUCUCCCUUUUUUCCCUGAUCUUCACAGUGAGCUGUCUAGAUCGUGGAAUAAGCCAUAUUCAUCACGUCUUUUCAGCCCUCAAGUGCGCAUUUAUUCUGAUAUAAGAGGGCUGAAAGAAAAUGGUUAUGAAGCGAUGCCCCGGGCGGAGCAGACGCUCGCGAGCUAUCUUUCCCCUGGUUCAGCGUCAUCUAUUAAGAACCCGACUUUGCCCACGAAGCCUUUAAAGAUCACAUCUAAUUUAGUGGGUAAAGCUUACACAGCAGCAGGUCAGGCUGGAGCUUGCCUUCACUCAAUGGCUUUGCUUCAGGCUUAUCAGGCUGAGCUGCUGGGGGAGUUAGAUAACAGUGAGGGAGUCAGCCGUGACGAAAUUCGCGAACUUCGUCGGGCUACGGAUUUAUCUCUCAGGGCGACUAAAGAAACAGCACGUGCUAUUGGUAGAUCUAUGGCUGCUUUGGUUUCUACAGAAAGACACCUUUGGCUUAAUCUUUCAGAUAUUAAAGAUAAAGAUAUAUCUUUUCUUUUAGACGCUCCCAUUUCUCAUGAAGGUCUGUUUGGUGAUGCUGUGAAUGAAGUGGUUGAAAGAUUUCAAGAAAAUAAAAAGCAAUCUGAAGCUUUUAAAAGUUUUCUCCCUCGCCGUUCUAAUCCUGAUGCUGCUGGGCGUGCAAGGCAGCCCCAGCCAUCAUGCUCCUCAUAUCGUGUUUUUCAAAAAGAGAGUGUUGCGUCUCGCACUCCUCCUCAAAAAUCACGGGGACCGAGCCAGCACUCACAGCCAAAGCAAUCUAAGCAGAAGCCGGAUCUGAGGACCGUUCUUCUCGCUAAGAAAGCUUCGGCUCAGAAGAAAAGGUCCUGA